UAAAACAAUCAAGAAAUCCAAACAACUCCAUUAACAUAGAGUUAGAGAAAAAGGCAGGAGGAGGGAGAACAGUUUAGUUCACAUAGUUAUGGAGACUGUCAGGAUUUGAUAUGGAAACAUUAGCCCCCAAUGCUCACACUACUAAACUGCAUGGUAAUGAUACCAAUAUUAUAAGCUCUUUGAUAUCAGGAACUACAUCAUCCUUUUCAUAUUCCCUAUAGGUCUUAGCACUGAGGCAUUCAGUAUGAAGCAGAGACAGGCUGACUUGAUUAGGAAAGCUACUGGGUGAACUCUCCUUUAAUAUACUACACUCUCACACGUAAGACAAAACAAUUUGCUAGCACAUCUUCCCAUCAUGCAAAGCACUGAAAGGACCUAAUUCAGAUAACUACCAGUCAGAACAGUACUUUAGUCAUCUCAGGAAGGUAUUAUUUUAAUCCUAGGGAAAUGAAUGUAAGGAUGAUUCCAAAUACUUUUAUAAAACUCAUUUUAAAAGCAGUUUACCACACUUCAACCCUUUAGGCUCAAACAUCAAAAACAGACGCUUACAUUGUUACAUUAAAGUUCCGGGUUUUAAAAACUAAUCAUUAAAAAUAUCAAGAGGAAAAAAACUCAAUUGUUAGAUUUUAAAAGCCUUGGUUUUAAAAAAGGAAAUGAGAAUUUUGUUUGAAAUUGCUCCUAGACAGUGGCUUCUUCUUAAAAAAGUAUUUGUAUAAUUAGAAUAGCUACCUACCCCACUAAAAGAUACUGGUAAAAGGUAACAUCUUGAUUGAUUGGGAAAUAACAGAAUGGUUACUUAAUGGUUACUACAAAAGAAAAAAGAAAUGGACUCGAAGCCUACAACAAGUGGAGAAUACGAUGCAAUAGCUCUUAGAGGGAGGGAAUUGUGAAGUUUUGGAGUGUAUCUAUGAACUUAACAUUGCUCUCCACUAAUGUCUUAGAUG